UUGCGGCCAUAUCACGUUGAAACAACGGUUCCUGUGAGAUCACCGAAGUUAAGAAACGUCUAGCUUGGUCAAUACCUAGAUGGGUGACCUGGUGGGAAUACUCGGUG